UUGCAUCAUUAGCUGGGGAAAGGAGCCUGGACCUUCUUGUUCCUGAGUGUGUCUACAAGCCUAAUCUUUCAUGGUAGUGUGACAAGAAUCUCAUCUUUAGCUGCUGAACUAAGGAGAAAGUCCUACAACAUUUUUUGGAGUCCAGACAUGGGGCAUGAGAGAAGGCCCAGGAGCUCCAACUUUGUCUUGGGACCUUAAGAGGAAAGGAUCACCCAACUCACAGAUAUCUGAGGAUACAAACCCAUGGCUGGGCUCAGCUUUAAUAGGAUUUAUCUGAGGAAGAUCCAGAGGAAGAUGAUAACAGAGGUUAAAAGGCAUG